rnacentral:miRNA from 1 species
CAGGUUCUCCGGGCGCAGCUCCGCCAGAGCGGCGCCCCGGGCCUCCAGGCACUCCAGGGCCGCGCUCAGCUGCAGCAGCA